rnacentral:rRNA from 1 species
GACGAACGCUGGCGGCGUGCUUAACACAUGCAAGUCGAACGAAGAGCGAUGGAAGCUUGCUUCUAUCAAUCUUAGUGGCGAACGGGUGAGUAACGCGUAAUCAACCUGCCCUUCAGAGGGGGACAACAGUUGGAAACGACUGCUAAUACCGCAUACGAUCUAAUCUCGGCAUCGAGGAAAGAUGAAAGGUGGCCUCUAUUUAUAAGCUAUCACUGAAGGAGGGGAUUGCGUCUGAUUAGCUAGUUGGAGGGGUAACGGCCCACCAAGGCGAUGAUCAGUAGCCGGUCUGAGAGGAUGAACGGCCACAUUGGGACUGAGAUACGGCCCAGACUCCUACGGGAGGCAGCAGUGGGGAAUCUUCCGCAAUGGACGAAAGUCUGACGGAGCAACGCCGCGUGAGUGAUGACGGCCUUCGGGUUGUAAAGCUCUGUUAAUCGGGACGAAAGGCCUUCUUGCGAACAGUUAGAAGGAUUGACGGUACCGGAAUAGAAAGCCACGGCUAACUACGUG